UUUCUUUUCAUCAAUUGCAACAGGGUGUAACCGGCGGCGGCUUCCAAGUAAGGUAUCUUAGUGCCAUCUUUGCUCAAUCUCUGCAACCAUUUCAUCCAUCAAUCUUCGUUAUUUCACGGCUUUAUCGUGUUGCCGCUGUUCGAAACCCUAAUUAGAACAGUUCAAUUCUCGAUCACAUACAUGAUAUAACGAUUUUGUGUUUUCUGAUUUCCGCUAUUUGAUUUGUAUUACUUUUUGAACCAUUGUUGUUAUUCUCAAAGAUUGACGAGUAUUAGCAGGUGUUAGAGCACGAACAUACAUUAGGAAUCCCCAAAAUUCUAGAACAUUUAUUUAUUUUUAAAAUACGAAUGAAAAUUUGGAAAACGUUUUCAAGAGAUGAUUAGAAAAAAAAUAUAUAUAAAUUAAUUAUGGUGGUAGACAGAUGCGUUGGUGAGCUAGAAAAGAUAUAAAUUUUAUAACUCAUUGGUUUCUUUUCUUUAAACGCUAAUCGAUUGUGCUUUGUCGAAGAACUAAAGAUGUCCGGGAAGAGAUUCAUGGUUUCAAUUUUAUCUCCGAAUGUGGAAUUCUUCAUCAAUAUGAGAAAUCUCUCCUCAAUCGCACUGUCAAUGGGUUCUUAAAGGUCAGAGCGGACGGUUUGUGUUCAUAUCUGAUAAUCAUUUCCUCUAAUUUAUUCACUAUUUCAUGUUUUUUCCAUGUCUCAUUUUUCCUAAUCAGAAUGGACGGUUGCUUUUGUCACGUUUUUCCGGGCUUGCGUGGCGGUCGGUCUUCAUCCGAUGAAGAUGGGUGGUCUAUGGUGGCAUUGGGAGGUGGUAGAAGGAGACGUGACUGUGGUUGUUUAGUUGCGGCUAGGGUUUACUUGGAAUUAGGUUUGCUGAGUUUUUUGGAAUGUUGGGCCAUAUUAUGGGCUUGGAUAAUGAUGGCACAAUGAUUGGCACCGAUUAUGAGUUUUGGCCCGAGUCAGGAUUGUUCAUACUCUGUUUCUUUUGGUCCACCAAACAUGCCAGGUAGCAAAGGAUCCAUCAACACCUAUUGAUGAUUAUUGAUGAUGGUUAUUCAAGUGGAGGCUGCCACUAUUUGGACAACCCACCUAAACCAACGAAUGGUUUCUUAUGACAUAAUGUAUGUAAGCUUGGAU